rnacentral:lncRNA from 1 species
GGGGGGGAGGUGUCGGAUGUCAAAUGGUCAUCAUUUUACAAAAAUAACAACUUUUACACAAAGUUUACCUGAGAAUGUCAAAAUUUACAAUAUACUUGAGCUUUACCUGAGUUUCACAGUUGUGGAGUUUACCCCCCCCCCACACACACACACACACACUCCCCUGUCUCUACGUCCCUGCUGAUCUUAGAUCAGAUAUAUAAUACAUAUUUACAUUUACAUCUAGAUAUCCAAAAAUAAACUGCACCUACAGUUGCAUCUCCUGGUUUAAUAGAUCUAAUAAAUGUAAAAUAAUGCAUUUUCACUCAAUUACUUCCAUCUAGAAGAUCCUUCAACUGUAUGUAAACAGACUGAGCUUCCACGCUAGUAACUACUAGACUAUAUUAAUAUAAAAUAGUCCAGCCUGUUUUCUGUGUUAAGUGUAGUUAAAGUUUUAUACCUGCAAGUGGACAGGGCAGUUGUAGUAUUGUUGUAAAAUAUGCCACCAAUGGGCUAUGCCAACUAUUACCCACAUAAUGUGGUAUAUUAAAAUUCAAGAUCUGUGCAAGAACGUUUGAUUAUCAACAGGAUUAUAAACUCACUAUAUAAAGCUUUAUAUGAAGCGUGAUCAAAAUCUCCUUGACCAGAAGCAGAGUCCAGAGCAGACAUGAAUAGCAACACGAUAGCAAUGACAAUGUUUUAAUAAUAUAAUAUGAAAUGACAGAUUCACAAAUUGUAAACAUAAAUAAAAUCUCGAUUGAAAUAACAAAAAUUAACUUACCGUUUGCUGUGAAAAAUUCAUUCGAGUAUUUCUCCCAGCGUUGCCAACUGUAAUUUUGCUGAGUGAGGCAUCUUCCAGUAUUAAAGUCGUUUAAUAGUUGUAAGAUACCUUUUCUGUGACAACUGGCUUUUUAAUAUCAUUGCCUCAUGCCAUCAACGACAGUUUCCGAAGGCAGUCGACAAGUUCCGUCACAACUUCACAACUCUUACAGUUUUAGCUUUACAUUGUGGCUAGCCCGCGAACGGGCUAGCCACAAAAACGUGUGCGGAAAAUUUUUCUUCUUUUAUAGUGGUUUUUCUGAUAUUCACUGAUUCCUGGAUUUGUCACUGAUAAUUCACGAAGUUGUCAAAGAAAACGACAUAUCAGAAAAACUAUUGAAGAAGAGAAAUUUUCCGCACACGUAUUUUUAACCCUACCUAUGAAGAUUCAAAUCGAGAUAUGUAGACAAACGUUGAGGUAAACUAUAAACAGAUUUUGAUUUUUUAUGGGAUACCUUUAUAUUUCUUUAGUCAGCCUAUACUGGACAGGUUUAACACUCAUCAAAUGAAAAUUUUCGAAAUCAGCAUUUGCUUGGCUUUCUUCACUAAAAAUUUAGUAAAGUUGCCUAAAAUUCGUUGCGCCUGUUCAAUUGACUAAAACGCACGUUCAUCAUGUGAAGUAAGCUUAAUUAAGUCUAUUUUGACACUAUUCCAUUUAGUUUGAUAUACUUUUCUCACUUAUUUUCUUGUAAAUAGCACAUAGUUUUUAAUAUAGCACAUAUGUAAAGAUUUAGCAACUGCCUGUACGAAAGGUCAUGCCAAUAAAGCAAAUAAAUUCAAUAUACAAAUACAGAUCUGUUUUGGACUAUGCUGCAGAGCCCGAAAUAACGCGUGUUUAAUUAAUAAAGAAUGUCUGUCCAAAAUGAAAGUUGAUGUCUUGAUCCGAAACUUUCAAAUCUCGUCGCAAUUUUAUCGAUUUCAUUUUGACUCCCGGCGUCCCUAAAUGCCCCUUGG